GCUUUAGUGCCUUCGGGAACUCUGAGACAGGUGCUGCAUGGCUGUCGUCAGCUCGUGUUGUGAAAUGUUGGGUUAAGUCCCGCAACGAGCGCAACCCUUAUCCUUUGUUGCCAGCACGUAAUGGUGGGAACUCAAAGGAGACUGCCGGUGAUAAACCGGAGGAAGGUGGGGAUGACGUCAAGUCAUCAUGGCCCUUACGAGUAGGGCUACACACGUGCUACAAUGGCGCAUACAGAGAGAAGCGACCUCGCGAGAGCAAGCGGACCUCAUAAAGUGCGUCGUAGUCCGGAUUGGAGUCUGCAACUCGACUCCAUGAAGUCGGAAUCGCUAGUAAUCGUAAAUCAGAAUGUUACGGUGAAUACGUUCCCGGGCCUUGUACACACCGCCCGUCACACCAUGGGAGUGGGUUGCAAAAGAAGUAGAUAGCUUAACCUUCGGGAGGGCGUUUACCACUUUGUGAUUCAUGACUGGGGUGAAGUCGUAACAAGGUAAGCGUAGUGCU
rnacentral:rRNA from 1 species